AACGAGACGGGUGCGACGGUAAAUUGCAAAAAUAAAUAUACGACGGUUUCGUGUGUUACCUUAAAUCGCUUGUCCUGGAGAACCUUCUUGAUGGCAACCAUUUCUCCCGUAUCACAGAGUUUCGCUUGGAAGACAACGCCGAAGCUGCCAUUACCGAUUACUUUUGUGUCUGUGUAGGCGACCUCUUGGGGGCGGUCUGGACCAGCACCGGGGGUAGCCACCACGGUCGUCACUUUGCUGCCAUCCUUGCCUGCAUUGUACAUCGCACCACCCAUAGAAACAAUAGAAAAGCACAACGCUACAGUACAGCGAAAGAAACAAGUUCGGGCUGAUUGAUGCGAACAGACCAGAGAACCUCGUCGUACAAACUAAGCUUUUCUGUAUCAACUAGACAACAGCAAUUCUUGGAUCCGUUUUGACCCAAUUUCUCGGAGGUUUCGCCCGGCUUCUUCAGUUUUAACCGAUCGGGUGUCGAGUUAAUGUUAUGAAUACGUGCCAAAAUACUGCCGAGGAAAAUUAUUAGGCAACGUUAGGCGUUACAAAUUUUAUAUUCUUCGGAGACAAAAUAAUUUAUUAACUUCUUGCCGCGACGACAGCUUCAUGUCAUCUCGAACGUUUCGACUCGCAGCACUCGAACGGUUUUAAUGAUUGGGAUUCCAGAGGCGUGCGCGAGUAACGCAAAUUGAUAUUCUGGUCAAUAAAUUGUUGCAUGUUUCAUUAAAUUCAUCUAAAAGUUUUGAACCGUACUUUUUGAACAACCUAAUAGUAUAUCGUACUCUUAGAUUAUUUAGAAAAAUUGGGUACUCAUAAAUUAUCUAGAAAAAUUGUGUAUUCCUAGAUUAUCUAGAAAAAUUGUGUAUUUCUAAAUUAUCUAGAAAAAUUGUGUAUUCCCAGAUUAUCUAGAAAAAUUGGGUAUUCCUAGAUUAUCUAGAAAAAUUGUGUAUUCCCAGAAUAUCUAGAAAAAUUGAGUAUUCCUAGAUUAUCUAGAAAAAUUGUGUAUUCCUAGAUUAUCUAGAAAAAUUGUGUAUUUCUAGAUUAUCUAGAAAAACUGAUAAAUAGACUGUGAAUCUGAUGCAUUUAUGACAAAAGGGGGUGCAAUUUAAAGCGCUGAUGAAAUUAAAGCGACUGAAGAGUGCUAAUACACUAGUUUCAACUACCGGAAGCCUAUUAACGGCUCGCUUCAUGAUCUACUUUCAGGAAAAGGCGCGUGUGUAGAUAAUUUAAUUAUGGGGCAGCUUCUUUCGCGGGGAGUUGUCACAGAAUAAAACUGAAAUAUUCGCGUUGCUAUUCAAUAUACUUAUAUAAAUGCGCACGGUAUCUCAUUUCUAACAGAGCAGAUUAAUAAUUAAUAAUGCUAAAUGAUGAUUAACGAUGCUAAUUAAUAAUAAAAUAAUUAGUAUAAUAAAUUAAUUAUACUAAUAUUAAAUAAAAAUUGUGAAACAUCUCCCUCGAGUUACAACGAACUCCAAAAUUAAAAAAAAAAUGUCUCGGCGGUGGUGAAACAUUUUCCAAACAACAAAGAACCGGAGUCUUUAAUUAAACUUCUAAUUUGAGGAGCUCGACAGUUCUCGCUAGAAAAGAAGAUUUUAUGUCAAAAAGUAAAAACAUUCGUCCCCGAAA